rnacentral:lncRNA from 1 species
GUUGUUUUGUGAAAGCUGAGUCAGUGAUGAGAGGCCGACCAACUGGGAGGGUGAUAAAGCUCCGCCGGCGUCACUGAGCAUCACUCUGCAGGAAAACAAACUUGUCAUUAUCGUCCGUCAGCGGCGCCGGCGUCGGUCUUCUCACCAGGAGCACGGCUCGCUGUCACUGGAGGGCUUUGUUUUCGUGCAUGUUGAUGGAAUAAACUGGGACGACGGCGGUGGAUUGGACUCAGCUCCGCCAGCUCUCGCUCGUGCCAGUGUCCGAAUGAAUCAGUAGGAAACUCUUCAGCUAUUUCAUCAUGCUCAGUGUGUUUUCUCCUCUCUGUGAUCUUCUUACCGUUGAGCUGUCAGGCUCUGAAUCCAAAACGGACUCUGGAUAGUUCCAGUGUUCGCUCUCACCAAUGAGAAUUAAACUUGACCUGACAGUCUGCAGUUUAAUAAUGGAUAAGCGAGGACAAACCAAUAAAACAUAGAUGAGGCCAACAACAAGCACCAUGCUCCAGCAGAAUAACAACAACAACUACCCGUGCCUCGGCGUGCCGGGCUCCACCCAGGAGCUGCUCCACAAGUGCUCCAGAGCUGCUGUGCCGCUCCCCAGCAGGCUGGAGCUGGGCGACCUGCCGCUGAUCCGAGGGCUCCGAGCCUGGGCCCUGUGCUCCAGAAACCGGCGGAAGCCCGGCGCUUUGCUGGGAGGCAGACCGGCCCCCGCUGCUCCUCACGCCGGCCGCGGGACCUCCACUUCCUGUUCCCGGCCCGCAGGGCGCCCCAGCGGCGAGUGGGGUCGUACGAGGUACGGGCUUCCUCUGGGGCAGGCGGAGGGCGGAGCUUUGGUCACGGUCGCCACCCUGAAGCCCUCAGAGGGCAGCGGAAAGACGCAGACUCAGUGUCUCUUCCUCCAGACGGAGAGAGGAAGCUGUCUGUACUCCAGUGCAGGCAACAGUGAGGUGGCUGGCUGGCUAAGAGGGAAGAGCACGCACGCUGCAGCCGGGAGAAGGGAUAAUGGGCCAAACCCGCCGGCACACACUGGAGCCAACCGGGUUAGAGCGGGAUCCGGCCGGAGGUGGAGAAAGUCUGGCAACGCGGCAGGCUGUGAAGGAGCGGGUGUGAGCAGAGAGAGGCAUCAGAGGAGCAGGGAGGAUCCUGGGGAAAUCACGGCGGGAGAAAGGAAGGAAGUGCAGGACAAAGGAGCCCCGGGCGACAAACAGCCUCCCAGCCCACAGCAGCACGGGAACGAGGGCGUGUGCAGACCCCCCAGGUGCUGCCACAAUGCUCCCCCUCAAAGCCCGGCUCAGUGCAGGAGAGCAGGAGGAAGCCUGGAGGAGCAGGGAGGAGAACGUCCGAGCGCUGCGGAGGAGCGGCAGCAGAACGAGGAGGAGGGAGGCGUCUGUGAAUCAGGGCCAUCCGCCUUCGCUUCGGUUCCGACCUCGGACCCAGAAUCAGGCCCAGAAGUGCCCGGCGGCUGCGGCGCUGAGGAGAGUGGAGAGGAGCUGAAGGGGCGAAAUACUGGGAGCGAGGACGAGCAGCACACAGAGUCUGGCGCCCCUGAAACGCUGCCUGAUGCCUUCAAACUGAAUCAGGACAGGGCUUCGAGGGAUGGGAAUCCUGCUGAAAAGCCUCGUGAGGGGGCUGUGGAUGGGUUUUCUGACCGUGUGGAAGCGAAUGGAGCAUUUGAAAUAGCGAUGCAAAGCACCGAGGAGGAGGAGGAGCAGAGCGUGGCUCAGACUCUGCCUGAGGCAGGCGUCUGUGGCUCUGCCUCCUUCCCUGAGUCCUCUGCUCCUCCAGAGGGCGGCGUGGGCACCGCGGAGCGGGGGAGGGAGCGGGAGGAGGCGCAGCAGGCAGCGGAGGAAGACCACGCGGUCUUCCUCAUGAGCGCCAGCCACGAGACCAACACUGUGAAGACUUCAGCUUCUCCUCUCAGAACCAAAUGUCCCUCCAACAGGAGGAGCGACGGCGCGACGGCGGAGGCCGGAGACGAGCUGGUGUCAGACGCCGACGAGGCCCGGUCCGAAGCUGGUGGCAGCGACAGAGCCAGACAGGAGGACGAGUCUGCAGCCAAGACCAGCUGUGCAGCAGCCGAAUCUGCAGACGGAUGCAGAGCUGAGACGGAGGAGGAUGGAGCCAGACAAACAGGAGUCAGCCGCGUGGAGGCGGCCGCGAGGAGCACCGCCGUCACUAAUGCUGCCCGCGCUGAUCCCUUCACCUCUCCUGCUCUCUCCCAGGCUAAUCCUGCCCCCCCUCUGCCCCCCCGGGCUUCCAUGGCAACCAGCCUGCCCUGUGCCGCCACCAAGGAGGAGGUGUGGGAGGACGGAGUGACGACAAGAGACGGAGAAAGAGGUCAGGAAGGAGCGAGGAGGCACAGGAGAGAGCUGGAGGGGGAGACGGGCUCCACGGUGGCCUCUGAGGGAGGACGGAGGGAGGGGGAGGAGCAGGAGGAGGAGGAGCAGCAGCAGGAGGAGCAGGAGGAGCAGGAGCAGCGGGAGCAGCAGGAGGAGCAGGAGCAGCGGGAGGAGCAGGAGCAGCAGGAGCAGCAGGAGGAGCAGGAGCAGCGGGAGGAGCAGGAGCAGCGGGAGCAGCAGGAGGAGCUGGAGCAGCAGGAGCUGGAGCAGCAGGAGGAGCAGCGGGAGCAGCAGGAGCAGCGGGAGGAGCAGGAGCAGCGGGAGGAGCAGGAGCAGCAGGAGGAGCAGGAGCAGCAGGAGCAGGAGUUCGGCCUGUUCGUGCAGGCCGAGGGAGAGCCGGCCUGGAGCGAGGACUUCGCCUCUGCCUCGGCUCCUUGUGGGAGCGGAGCGAGCGCUGUACAAACAGCUCCCAGAGGCCGCUCCAUCAGCGAGGACUGGACCCGCUGGACUCCGGGCGGGACCGGCCCGACCUCAGACGACACCUGGACGGCCUUCCCUCUGGAGCCACCGCAGGGUCCGGACGGCGUGGGGCAGUGGUGGCCGAGCGGCGCCGCAGACGAGGGACGAGACGGACUCUCAGCCGGACCCGACGCGCUCCGUGUCUUUGCUGAAGCUUUUCCCUCUGAGCCCGGCUCGUCCUGUGAGCCCGCUUCGGUUCCCACACUGACCCAGCUCCUCAGGGGCAGAGGCAGCCGGGACCAGGGGCUCUUGGACAGUUUCCUUGACCUGAACAAACUGAUGGGCUGGAGGUCAAGGCCGACCGGGAGCGCGUCUCGGGACCUGCUGCUGAGGACUUUACACCUGGAGCAGCCGCUCACGGAAACCAGAGCGGCUCCCUGGACGGCCAAUCGGCGCCUUUCUCCCGGCCUCCCCUCGGCCAAUCACAACGCCCUCAGUGCUGCGGCCAAGCGCCGGCUGUCCUACGACUACAACAGGAACCUUAUGGAGUAA